UACGUAGGAUCCGAGCGUUGUCCGGAUUUACUGGGUGUAAAGGGUGCGCAGGCGGACUGGUAAGUCAGUGGUGAAAUCUCGUCGCUUAACGACGAAACUGCCUUUGAUACUAUCAGUCUUGAAUCCGGUAGAGAUCUGUUGGAAUUCCGAGUGUAGCAGUGAAAUGUGUAGAUAUUCGGAAGAACACCAGUGGCGAAGGCAGCAGAUUGGGCCGGUAUUGACGCUCAGGCACGAAAGCGUGGGGGAGCAAACAGGGA
rnacentral:rRNA from 1 species